GAAGGCUGCGGCGCGCGCGGGAGGAGCGUCCCCGUCGGGAUCCCUUCGCGCUGACGGGUCAGAGAAGAGCCGGUGCCCUUUAAGUGCCAAGCCGAGGUCUCCCACGCUGCGGUGCCAGAGGACUCGGAACAGUAAGGCAGCUGCUGUCCCUGAAUGGUUGCUCCUUGCUUGCAUGUACACUGGGCUGACUCCAACCAUUUUCUCCCUUCUC